UGGCAGGCGCAGAAAGGCCUGCAUCUGCCUCUUCGUCUCAAACCUUGUGAGCAUUGCAUGCGUCCCGCCAGCAAUAUUACCGUUGCUUUGCCUGCAAUGGACAAUUUCAUGAGGACAUGCCUUCUGCAAAUUUUGGUAAAUUCAAACGAAGUCAAGCCGCUUGCAUCGUGUAUUGUGGGGGGUAAAGUCGGACAGUGUAGAUCGCACCAUAUCUUUCCAUGAGUACAUUGCAAUGCUCCAGCAAGAGAGCUCUCAGCCAGUGCUGCCAGCUGGACGAGGUAUUCCUCUAUCUGUUCAGGAGAUGCCGUGGGAGCUGCCUGCGCAUGCAAACAUCUGUCUGGAUUACAUAGCUUGCUUCUGAGGAACAGGAGUUAGGUUGUGAACAAUCGCAAUGUCUGCCUUAGGAAGCCAAAUGCUACCUUGAAUAUGAAGGCAUGCUCAGCCCCGCUGUCCCACUCUGACCCUCGACAGAAGAUCGCUUCCAGAUCUGAUGCGACUCGCCCCUCAAAGAGCACUACAGAAUCUCUGGGAAUUGCAUUGGCAGAUGCAUGAUCCACCACUCCUUGCACCGCCGCGUUGGAAAGGAAUUGAUCCGCAGCC
rnacentral:lncRNA from 1 species